rnacentral:rRNA from 1 species
UACACCCCAUGUGAAUUGCAGAAUUCAGUGAAUCAUCGAAUCUUUGAACGCAUCUUGCGCUCGCUGGUAUUCCGGCGAGCAUGUCUGUUUGAGUGUCGUGAACUCUUCAACCCCCAAUUUUUCUGUAUGGGAAUUUUGGCGCGGCUUGGUUUCUGAACGUUUCAUGCUGGAUUCUACCCUCGGGUGGAAUCGAAGCUCGUUCGUAAUGCAUUAGCAUCCUAAUCUUCGAGAUCAGAUUGACUCGGCGUAAUAGACUAUUCGCUGAGGACAUGGCUCCCCGUCAAAAAGGGAGUUGUGGCUGGACUUGGAAAGUUGGAAGCUUACAAAACCCGACAAUUUAGUCAAUCAUUUUUUAAGAUUAGACCUCAGAUCAGGCAGGAUU